UAUUAAAACAAUAUACAAUUGAAAAAAUUAGUAUAUAUUAAUCGGAAGUACAUAUUGAUAAGUUAGAUUUUAGGAAAGCCUAUCGGUUAAUUUUUUACAUAUGGUUUUAGUUACAAAAUCUAAUAUAAUUAAAAUAAUAUGCAUACAUAAUUCGAUUAUAAAUUAAAUUUUGUUUUAGCAGGCGUUUAGAUCUAAAAAUGAAUUUUGGGACUUUCAUAAUGGUAUAAUUAAAGAUAUAUCGUUAUUCGUAAAGGGUACGUUCAAUACCUGUUAAUAAUUGACUUUUGUAUUAAGAAAGUGGCAUCACUGAUGGAUACGUACACAAUAAUCAGCUGUUUAUAACACUGUAUAACAGUCUGACUUUUUACAAAGAGAUUUGAGCGAAAUGUGCUGCUGAAAUUGAAAGAAAAUAAUUUUCUGCCAUUAAGCAUUUAAUUUAAAUUUAGUGUGCGGUAUCUGCUUUAAGCCUUUGGACAUAAACUUCGAAGUAACCUGACAUAUUGAUUGGGCUUCCAGCAAACAAUUGUAAAUUUACUUUGUUGGUGUUAUCUGGCAACGCUUACGCGAUUUUAGCCGAGUUAACAACAGCGCGCCAGUUGUUUCUUCUCUUCGCUACGUGGCGCCAAUUGGAUAUUCCAAGCGAAGCCAGGUUCUUCUCCACUUGGUCCUUCCAAUGGAGUGGAGGUAUUGCGUCGAAUACUUUCGGAGCUGGAGUGUUUUCGUCCAUCCGGACAACAUGACCUAGGCAGCGUAGCCGCUGUCUUUUAAUUCGCUGAACUAUGUCAAUGUUGUCGUAUAUCUCGUACAGCUCAUCGUUCCAUCGAAUACGAUAUUCGCCGUGGCCAAUCCGCAAAGGACCCUAAAUCUUCCGCAGAACUUUUCUCUCGAAAACUCGCAACGUCUUUUCAUCAGUUGUUGUCAUCGUCCAAGCUUCUGCACCAUAUAUGUAGCAGGACGGGAAUUAUGAGUGACUUAUAGAGUUUGGUUUUUGUUCGUCGAGAGAGAACUUUGCUUCUCAAUUGCCUACUCAGUCCGAAGUAGCACCUGUUGGCAAGAGUUAUCCUGUGUUGGAUUUCCAGGCUGACAUGGUUGGUGGUGUUUACCCUGGUUUCAAGUUAGACGAAAUUAUCUACGACUUCAAAGUUAUGACUGUCAACAAUGACGUGAGAGCCAAGUCGCGAGUGCGACGACUGUUUGUUUGAUGACAGCAGAUAUUUCGUUUUGCCCUCGUUCACUGUCAGACCCAUUUGUUUUGCUUCCUUGUCCAGUCUGGAGAAAGCAGAACUUUUGGUGUUGCUCAACGUCAGUUCACACAGCCGUAUUAGUUUUGCGGAGAUACAAAAUUCAGACAACGCGGCAAAGAGGCAACUCCUUUUCGUGCUGCCGAAAGCAGCUUUGAAAUCGACAAAGAGGUGGCGUGUGUUGAUUCUCCUUUCACGGGUUUUUUUUCAAGAUUUUUCGCAUGGUGAAUAUCUGGUCGGUUGUUGAUUUGCCAGGUCUAAUGCCGCACUGAUAAGGACCAAUCAGUUUGUUGACGGUGGGCUUUAAUCUUCGGAUAAAUAGGUUUGGCUAUUUUCAGCUUUAAGAAGUUUAGAGAGCUCUCACUAGGAUGCGAAGGAACUUCAUCUGUUUUUCCAUUCGGUUUCGAAAAUGUCAUUCAUAUCAAUAAGGUUUAUCGCAUAUGAGAAUAGAGUUGAUCAGUACUGAAAGUAAUAAAUAUGGUUAAAAAAAUAUAUAUGAUAGCCAAUUGUUAUUUACAUAUAGUUAGUGCCGUAAUCUCGCGGCUAACAUAACCAGGGUGACAUACAAAUUAAUAUUUGUUUUGAGAGAAGGGCCAUAUUGCUAAUUCUUAAGUGAAAAUGUUCUUGUUAUUUCAAAAAACUUAAUGUGUAAUUGGAAUUGUCCCGUAUAAUCCGAAAAAUGCUUAUAAUAUAUUAUAAUGCUUUGAUUGCAAGACACUAAUCCAAUUGACAAUUACAGCAGUCUAAUUAAAUUAACAUUUAAUUCCGAAUUGUAGCAUCCUUUUUCAAGUGGUCAAAUUGUAUUUAUAAUAGUAGUAAGAAAAUAGAGAGUUAUUUGAGCUUUUAAUAAAAUCCAAUACAUUUUUGAAAAGUAAAGAGUGUUAUCAUGAGGAGUAAAAAUCGAAAAAGAUUGUUGUUGUUAUUGUUGUAACGGCAUACCUACCAUAAAACGUUCUCCAAAUCGGUUGUCGACGUAUUGGGAUGUGAGUCUGUAUAUUCUCUCAUUGAAGCAUAAUAUACAUGUUAUGAAUAUAAGCGAUCAAACCUGAUUUUGUAGGUCUUAUUACAUGAAGCUUCACGCAAAUUUCAUAAUAUAUUAUCCACCUCCCCAUUUUAUACUUCAACUAUUGUUGUUAUAGCGGUAAAAAACCAAUAAUUUUGAGGUAUACUAUUGAAUUUAAAAUUCGCAUCCCUUCUGGUUAUGUCGCGGAAACGACUUUUCACAUUACAUGUUUGUCCCAUGUGUUCCGCUAUGCGUUGGGACUGUUUGAAUAUUGCCAAUAAAAAUAUAUUUAUUUGAAAUUACGGUUUAAGGUCUAAAUUAACAUUUAUUGAAUUUAAAAAAAAAUAAACGAAUUAACUUAUUAAUUCUCGGCUAUCCUUACCGAUUCGUUCGAAUGCCAUAAUUUCUGGCUGAUUAAAGAAUAAUUAACAAACAUGUUUAUUUAGUGACUAUAGUAAAUUCAAAAUAAAAAAGUCUCCUCGAAAAAUGGUGAAGAGAAGGCUGAUAAUUAACCUAAUUUAAAAUAAAAAAUAAAUAUUUGCUUACUUGUCGUUUUUUAAAAUUCUCAUGAAAUGCAAAAAACACAAAUUAACACACUGUGUAUAUUCUGUUUAUAUUGCUAACGGUGCAUGUGUGCCAAUCAAUUAAUGCGAGUAGCACUUGCACUCAUGUAUACAUAAAUACAUAUUUAUAUAUGAAUAUACAAAUAUCCAUACGAACACACUUAUGUCCAUAUUUUGGACGGAAAUGUGACCGGAAGUUAGUAAAAUUCAUAUCAAAGCAACGCAGAAAAGUCUAAAAUUACAAAAGUGGGUCGUCGCGUUGGUGGCAAUGCGAUCAAUGCGAUUCUGAAUAUUUAUUCUACCAACAAACCAAAUUUGUUAUAAUUUAACAAAAAAAGUGGCUAAUUUAACUUUCUAGUUUACCUUACUCGAGUUUUUGAGUAUAUCGAUGCAAUGAUAAAACAAAAUUUAAUUUGCGUAUUAAAAGGGCGUAAGUCACUAAAUAAGAGCUCAACACCACGUGGCUUGUGGAUACCUUCGUAAAUUAAUGAAACGUGUAUACCUAUUUGAUCGCUUCAGUCUGUUUGUUCGAUCUUUAUUUCCCCUAUAUAUAUAAACUUAUGUACAUACAUAUUUAUUUUCACGAAAUAAUUAAUAUAUGUUCCAUCUGAAAGCUGAUUUACCAAAUCAAUAUUAUACAAAUUGUUUAAAAAUGCUAAAAUAUAUAAAUUCAACAUAUUUCUCACAACACAUACUGUAUACUUGUCACCCAUAGAAGUUUUUUUUUUUUUAAAUUCCCACUAAACUACUAUUCGGCGUAUUCAACCAUAUUUGCAUAAGUUUACUAAAAAUGUAUGUGAACUCGUCGAAAAGCGCAAUAAAUGGAAACUUGUAUAACCGAAAAUAAUGAAAAAUAAUAUUGUGGUCUUGCUAUUUUUUCAGCCUACGCCAACGCAACCCUACCUAAACUAUAAGGAACAGGUUGAGAAAAAAGUCAUUAGCGAUACCCUGUAAGAAAUUUUGAACGGCAAAAUUGUGUAAAAAUUAUAGAAAUUACACUUUCAAAGCACAGCUAAUGCAACAUUAGAAAUACAAGUUUACUGUAAUUUUUCGACUCUAACCUCACCGGCUGAUUCUUGCUAAGUCUGGGUUGCUAAAAUCGAAAAUUGUUGUGCAAAUUUCCCAACACGUAGGAUUUUUAUGUUGCAAUCAAGGGGUGUGGGGGUCAAACCACAUCCAUUUACUAAAAUGACAAAAAUAUCUAUACCUGGUGGAAAAUUUCUAAUCUCAAAUUAAACCUCUUUGCUCAUGAGUCACAAAAUUUUCCUUCAAAUUUGUUGAGUAGUGUAAUUGUUAUGAUAAUUCUGUUGCAAGCUCAUAUUCAAUGGCUAAUGGGGUUUUAUGAGGGUUAUUUCGAUAAACAAUAUUAAUUCACUAAUCUAAAAAGUACACGAAUUUUGCGCAGAAAGUUGAUAUUUCGAAACACUGCCCCCGAUCGAGGCAUUUGUUUUCUCUCAGGGCGAGUUGCCAGCGUAGUACUCACGCCCUACAACUAAACAGCAUAAUUUAUUCAAUCUACAUAUUCAUAAUUCACGUGUAGUUUUAUAUGUAUCAGCUAGUAAUUUCAAAAGUUAUUACACAAAUAUUCAAAUAUCGUAAAUAAAAGAAACCUGCAUGAGUAUUUCAGCCAUAGUCUCAUGCUAAUUAGAUGCGCAGCUUCACUGGCGUGGAUAACUCAUUCAUAGUAAUGCAUUAUUGUAUUUGUUGUUGAUGUUAUUGAGUGGGUUGACCGACACAUUGCUUAUAGUCUCUUCACACGGUUUAUAAAGUGGCGUGGGCGAUAUUACAAAUGUACAUAUUUAAAUUUAUUAUGAAUGAAGUUACCUUUAAUCUAGUGUAUUCCACAUAAUUACCUAUACAAAUAUACCUAUGAGUUGCAGAUUAAAUUGUUAGUCAGGUAUAAUUUCUUGAUUAAAAAUGAAGCUAAUUAUUCAUUGUAUUGGGUCUUAAAGAUUUCAAAGCAUCAUACUUAUAUAGUUUUAUUACUGAAGAGCAGGAAGUAGUAACUCCUGAAUAGUAGCAAAUUAACACUUUGGUACUUAAAACUGUUGGCAGGGACGUUAACAAAUAUCAUAUAUUUGGUAUAAGAAACAAUAAUUCAAUAAUAAUACAAAUCUUCAGCAUCGCCUUCAAAACAGGUUCUUGAACCAAUGCAAGCAUGUUUUAAGCCUCGGCUGGAGUAGGAGAAUAGCCUCAGCUAAUUUUGGAUUUUCAGUUUCUGCUCAUUUUUUGAGCGCAAUUCGCUAGAUUCUUGGACAUUUUCGACCUCAUAUUCAUGAACAUCUCAUCACCAGUAAUGAUGCGUUUGAUGAAUGUGGCGUCCUCAGCUACCUUCUCAAGUAUAGGAUGGUUUUGAUGUUGUGACAUCAGAAAAAAAGAAAAUUCGGGACCGUUCCGCUUACGUAGACCCGACCGUUAUCAAGUUUUGCGUACUCUCCUAUACGUAUUUUUUUAAGCAUUGACACAUUUCACACCCAAAACAUUGACCUGUUCUCGUCGUAAACAAACAGCUGCCUAAUACUAAUUGACAUAUGAAGAUCAAACUUCACACGAACAUAAAAAAGCUUGUAUCAAUCUAAAAAAAAAUUACAUAUGUAUCGAUUAAUUUGUACGCGCUGUCCAAAAGGACUAGUUUUGGUCAAAUUUGAUCAUAACAUAUUGUGUCAUACAAUAUAUAUACAAUGUAUAAAUACCGUAUUUAAAUAAUUCGAUCGCGCAUUUAAGGUUUCCAUUGCCAAUUAGGUGGCCGAUAAGUCGUUGCCAACAACGAACAGCAUCAAAACAUUCGCCGAUGGCGAUGAAUGAGCAGCACUAAAAAGCUCCUAUGAAAACGUUCGACGGAAUACAGCUUUAGCUAGCCAAUAAAUGCUAAACUAAACAAAUGUAAAUGAAAUUAGCGUGAAAAGUGUCAUUGACUUCCUAAAAUACUCGCAUAAUGAAUGAUUUCUUUUUUGGCGCUGUUCUCAAUGUAUUGCACAUACGCACGCACAUACACAUACAUAUGUAUACUCGUACACACAUUGGGUACAUGCUUGCAUGUGUGCAGCUAAAGGCCAAUGCAAAGCAUACGCAGAAGCCUUUCCCAGAUUUUAAUGAAUCAAUUUUAGUUAAUGAAUGAAUGAAUGUGGAAUGUGUGAGGAGUGAAGUGGUCUAGUGUCUCAUUACCGUCUGGCAGGCGUUCAAUUUGCUCCUCAAAUAAACAAAAACCAAAAUACGAGUACAUUCGAGCGCAAACAAUUAUUUUUUGUGCAUCAUCAAAAAAGUAUGUGUGCCCAGUUGGUGAGGUGUUUUCUAAUCUGAAAGUUGUUUGCUGAUUGUGGGGGACAACCUUGUAACAAUUUACACUCAUACUCAUCUGUGGAUGUGUGUGCGUACCAUAAUUGUGUGUCACUGCACAUGUGUCCGCUGAUCAGUUUUUGUUCGCACUAUCGUGUUUAAUACAAUUCUCUUAAUGCGUGUAAUUUCUAUAAAGUCCAUUAGUUCUGGCUUACGAAUUUCGUUCUCGUUUUUCUCAGAAGCUAAGGUUGGAAGCCUAUUGAGUUAUGUAUGAGCCGAGAUUUUUUCAAAGGAAAAAUAAUUUGCUUUUCAGUUAUUGUGAGGUUGUUUGAACGAUUGCAGGCUUAGGUUGAAUAUACUUUGUAUAUGGUUUGUGUCUAAUGUUUUUAGUUUUAGAUCUUGGGGAAUUUUUUGUCCAUUGGCAACUCAUAUCCUAUAUCACUUUUGUAAUUUCUAUUUACAUCACUUACUGACUUCGCUGACAAUUUUUGUUAAGAAAAAUUUCUUGUUAGGAAAAUUUUCGUUUUGUAAAUUUUGGUAUUUUUUUUUGUUUCGCCAUUUUUCUUGUUUGAUUUACAAAAUUUAUUUGUGUGUGUACGUAAAAAUACGCUCU